CUCCAGCUUAUUUUACUCGCUUUCUCACGAAGCCGAGCAGUGAGCAGAAAGCACACAGCGAUGGGAGUAGCAACCAUGGCUUCGAAUCUCUUCACCCAUACGCGCAUGUUAGCACCACCCACCAAUUCAGGCACUACCAGUUCAAACAGAACCCUAGCUUCCUUCUCUCUCAGAGCCAAUCUCCUCUCUCCGUACGUCGGCGGCAGCGUCGCCUCCGACUUCUCCGGACAGAAAAUCCGGCCUUCGUCCCUGUAUUCGGCGUCGUUUUCGGGUUCUCAUGCCAAGAGAGGUGGUGUCACCAUGGUCAUUCCUUUUACAAGGGGAAGUGCAUUGGACCAACCUCCUCCCGAUUUACCAUCUUACUUGUUCAAGAAUCGAAUUGUAUACUUGGGCAUGUCUCUUGUUCCUUCUGUCACCGAGUUGAUCCUAGCAGAAUUCCUUUACCUUCAGUAUGAUGAUGCUGAGAAGCCAAUUUAUCUGUACAUAAACUCCACUGGAACGACCAAGGGUGGGGAGAAGUUGGGUUAUGAGACAGAAGCUUUUGCAAUCUAUGAUGUUAUGGGGUAUGUUAAGUCACCGAUUUUUACUUUGUGUGUUGGUAAUGCUUGGGGAGAAGCAGCCUUACUUUUGGCUGCAGGUGCAAAGGGAAACCGUUCAGCUUUGCCUUCAUCAACAAUCAUGAUAAAGCAGCCAAUUGCAAGGUUUCAAGGUCAGGCGACAGAUAUUGACCUUGCAAGAAAAGAAGUGAAGAAUGUGAAGGCAGAGUUGGUUAAACUCUUUGCAAAACAUAUCGGAAAGUCACCCGAGGAAAUUGAAGCCGACAUCAGGCGCCCAAAAUAUUUUAGUCCUAGUGAAGCUGUUGAAUACGGCAUUAUAGACAAGGUACUAUACAAUGAAAGGAGCUCUGAGGAUCGGGGAGUUGUUGCUGACCUGAAAAAAGCUAAACUCAUUUGAUAGUUUGAAAUGAUGAUUGUAAUGAGUAUUCAGGUAAACUCAAGGUUGAUUACACUCAAUUGUUUGUGAGCCAUUGAUUCUGAGUUAUAGAUUAAAUGUUUAGAUGAGGGUUAACAAUCGGUGUCCACUUUUUCCCCAGCAAUUUGCUAGGAAUAUUAUUCAACUUUUUUCCUGAACUCCUUUAUUGUGUUUGUGACGAGUUGCAGUGUAUUGAUUAUGCUGCUCAAUUUUGAUUGUACUUGAACUUAAGAUUGUAGUCAAGACCCAAGGGUUGGCAACUGGGACCACAAGAUCUCACCAGUUCCUGCUUGUGUAAUUCAAGUUGUUGGGAAAAGGAUAAGAUUUUUGAAUGUGGCUUGACUCCCAUGGGGUAUGGACCUCUCUGAUCUUUUCUGGUUGCCUGUCUCAAGAUGUGGAUGGGGUUGUUUCAUAAAAAUAAUCAAACAGUGAAGUCUCUAGCAUGCUGCUGCUUUUCUAGUGAAAGUAAGGACAGCGGUGGGUAAUGUUACAAAAGUUGAUCUUCUAAGGGGUGGCAAGGGAAGACCCAACAGGCAUUGGCUUAAUAUAAUAGCAUCGAUAAAGGAUGGCCUACAGUACCUUGAUUCUGAUUAGUAACUGAAAGCAUCUAAUACCAAGGAGGAACUGAACCUUUUUAUAUGUGAUACUUUUAAUUCUGCUCUCACAUCUCAAUCACUAGUAUAUCUUUCUAUUCCCACCACAAGGACUGAGCCUGUUUUUGUUGCUUAACCAAUCCAUUGUUUUAGUGGGAGGAUCAGUAGGUUCUGGAGGAGAAAAGUGAUUGCUUGUUCUUUUCAUGGCUAUACCAUCUGUAAUUCCAACUCUCUCUCUGUCCCUCCAAAAACUUUGUCAAAGUGACACCUGGCAAAGUGUAGUAGGAGAGGUGGUGGAUGCAAAAUGCGAGGGUGAUGAGCUCAUAGCUGGAUCAAGAGCAAGUGCUGGAACUAUAAUUGAUGGAAGGGAGCCACAGCAUUACUAGUAGACAGAAUUUUGUGGCACUUUUAGGGCAGUACAUGUAUUUUUGGGUGCGUUUGUCAUACUGUUAAAUCUCUCUUCAGUUUAUUUUACUCCAAUGAAAUGAACCAUGCAUCGUAUUUUAUCUUAUGAACUCCACCCUGAUCAAAGAUAUCAUCAAUGGUCUUCUGUUGCAA